GAUGGACGCUAGCUACAGGCUUAACACAUGCAAGUCGAGGGGUAACGAGAGGAAAGCUUGCUUUCCUUGUCGACGACCGGCGCACGGGUGAGUAACGCGUAUCCAACCUGCCCCCAACUAGGGAAUAACCUUGCGAAAGUAAGACUAAUACCCUAUAAUUUCCUCAGAUGUCAUCUGACGAGGAAUAAAGAUUUAUCGGUUGUGGAUGGGGAUGCGUCUGAUUGGCUUGUUGGCGGGGUAACGGCCCACCAAGGCAACGAUCAGUAGGGGUUCUGAGAGGAAGGUCCCCCACAUUGGAACUGAGACACGGUCCAAACUCCUACGGGAGGCAGCAGUGAGGAAUAUUGGUCAAUGGGCGGAAGCCUGAACCAGCCAAGUAGCGUGCAGGAUGACGGCCCUAUGGGUUGUAAACUGCUUUUAUACAGGAAUAAAGUUAGCCACGUGUGGUUAUUUGUAGGUACUGUAUGAAUAAGGACCGGCUAAUUCCGUGCCAGCAGCCGCAGUAA
rnacentral:rRNA from 1 species